rnacentral:rRNA from 1 species
GUGACCCCAGGUCAAGCGGGAUUACCUGGUGAGUUUAACCAUAUCAAUAAGCGGAGCAAAAUAAACUUACAAAGAUUAACUUAGUAACGACGAGUGAACCGGGAACAGCCCAGCCUUAGAAUCCGCUGGCUCCGUCAUCCGAAUUGUAGUUUGGAGAAGCAUCCUCAGAGGCGGACCUAGCCCAUGUCCCCUGAAAGGGGGCACCAGAGAGGGUGAGAGCCCCAUUGUUCUCGGAUCUUAUCGUACCACGAGGCACUGUCUACGAGUUAGGUUAUUUAGGAAUGCAGCCCAAAUCGGGCCUUGAAUUCCUUCCAAGGCUAAAUAUGGGCGACGGACCAAUAGUAAUAAAGUAACGUAAGGGAAAUAUUAAAAGGACUUUUUAAAUAGAGUCAAAGAGUGAUUGAAAUUAUCGUGAGGGAAGCGAAUGGGGGCUGGCAAUAUGCCACAGUCGAAUGUGGAAAGGAGACAAGCCGGUCCGCCGAUUGACCCGGGGCAUGGACCAACGUUGAUUGGGGGCGGUCAAAGCUCGGGCUCUCGAUACAAUCGUUGAAUGCCUUCUCCUCAAUUGUGGAAGGCAGUGCGCGCCUCCGGCGUGCUUCAACAUCUAUGCGCUACGGAUGCUGGCUUGUGGACUCCUUAUUCGACCCAUCUUAAAAAACGGUCUAAGGAGUUUGAUAUGUGUGCGAGUCAACGAGCGAGUAAACUCGUAAGGCGUAAGAAAGUUGAUUGGUGGUAUCCCCUCGAAGGGUUCACCGUCGACCGACCCUUAUAUUUUGAGAAGGGUUCGAGUGUGAGUAUACCUAUUGGGACCCAAAAGAUGAACUAUGCCUGGGCGGGGUGAAGCCAAAGGAAACUCUAGUAGAGGCCCGCAGCAAUAAUGAUGUGUAAAUCGUUCAUCUGACUUGGGUGUAGGGACUGCGGCUACAUUAUCGAGCCGUGCCAUUGAAUCAAGAGCUCUAUGUGGGCCAUUUUUUGUAAGUAGAAAUGGCGAUGUAGGAUGAACUGGAAGCCGGGUUAAGCGCCAAAUAAACUAGCCCCGAAAAUAGAUAGCACUUAAGCGCGCGACCUAUACCCGAUCAUCGGGGAAAGUCCCAAGCCCCGAUGAGUAGGAAGGUGUUGCAGUCGCUGCAAAAUCUUAGGCGCGAGCCUGGGUAGAGUGGCCGUUGGUGGUAGUUGCAAAUUUUCAAAUGAGAACUUUGAAGGCCGAAGAGGGGAAACGUUCCAUGUAAACGACACUUGCACAUAGGUUAGUCGAUCCUAAGGGUUGGGGGAACCCCGACAGAUAGCACAUUUCAUGAGUACUCCAAAAGAGAAUCGGGUUAAAAUUCCUGACCGGGACGUAGCGGUCGACGGAAACGUUAGGAAGUGUAGAGAUGUCGGGAAGAGCCUCUGGAAGAGUUAUCUUUUCUAUUUAACAGCCUGCCUACCCUGGAAUCGGCUUAGCUGGAGGUAGGGUCCAGCGGCUGGAAUAGCACCGCACGUCAUGUGGUGUUUGGUGUACUACCGGUGGCACUUGAAAAUCAAGAGAACCGAAUGCCGUCCAUGCCCGGUCGUACUCAUACCUACAUAAGGUCUCCAAAGGGAACAACCUCUGGUCGAUGGAACAAUGUAGGCAAGGGAAGUCAGUAAAAUGGAUCCGUAACUUUUGGAAAAGGAUUGGCACUGAGGGUUGGGCACGGGAUCCCAGUCCCAAACCUGUCGGCUGUCGGUGGACUACUAGAGCUGCUCCCGCAGCAAGAUCGGGUCACUGCAAGCCGAUCGAGGGAUGGACUGGGAACGGUUCCUUCAGGGGUCUUCCCCGUGCGUCAAGCAACCAACUCAGAACUGGUACGGACAAGGGGAAUCUGACUGUUUAAUUAAAACAAAGAAUUGCGAAUUGUCAUUUCUGCCUAGUGCUCUAAAUGCAAAAGUGAAGAAUUUCAACCAAGCUCGGGUAAACGGCGGGAGUAACUAUGAAUCUCUCAAGGUAGCCAAAUUCCUCGUCAUAUAAUUAGUGAUGACAUAAAUAGAUUAAAGAGAUUCCCACUAUGCUUGUCUACUAUCCAGCGAAACCACAACCAAGGGAAUGGGCUUGGCAGAAUCAGCGGGGAAAGAAGACCCUCUUGAGCUUGACUCUACUCCGACUUUGUGAAGUGACU